GGAUGUUUCUCUGCUCAGUAAAAAGGCUUCGUAUCAUGAAACCUCUGAGGCUAAUGGACUUGGUCCAAUAUUCCAAGAAAGGAAUGAGAAACAAAAAGCUAAGCCUGUUUAGUGUUUAGCACUAUCCCAACAUUUGAAAAAUAAAAAAAGAUGAAGAAACUACCCGCAGUUGAAAAGUACUGCAGCUAAAGAAUAGUAGAGAGAUUUGAUGAGUUGGAGCAUUUUGCAUCAAGAUUACUUUAUUCCAUUUCUUUUUAUGUUUAUUACCAGCUGUUAUCUGGUUCUUGCUGCUUUUUUUUUUUUUUUUUUUUUUUUGGUUCCCGUAGGCCAUAUUCAAUUAGUUUUUGUCUCCUCCUAUACAGUGGUACAAUACAGGCCUGCAGCUUACCUUGACUAAUGAUGCUUAUUCUCAUACUGUAAAUAUGAGAGUUCUUGAUAUCUAGAGUGUUGAGUUUGUUGUUGCAAUGCA